AUGGAGAGAUAUAGGGAGCAAAAGAAGGACUUGCAUAUGGUGUUCAUUGACUUGGAGAAGGCCUAUGAUAAGAUACCACGGAAUGUCAUGUGGUGGGCCUUGGAGAAACACAAAGUCCCAGCAAAGUACAUUACCCUCAUCAAGGACAUGUACGAUAAUGUUGUGACAAGUGUUCGAACAAGUGAUGUCGACACUGAUGACUUCCCGAUUAAGAUAGGAUUGCAUCAGGGGUCAGCUUUGAGCCCUUAUCUUUUUGCAUUGGUGAUGGAUGAGGUCACAAGGGAUAUACAAGGAGAUAUCCCAUGGUGUAUGCUCUUUGCGGAUGAUGUGGUGCUGGUUGACGAUAGUCGG
rnacentral:rRNA from 1 species